rnacentral:rRNA from 1 species
AAUGAACGCUGGCGGCAUGCCUAACACAUGCAAGUCGAACGACAACACAGGGAGAACUCGCUCCUGCGGUUGGCGGGGGACGGACGAGUAACAAAUGCAUCGAAUACCUCUUUGACUGGGGUGAUAACGGGGGAAAACUUCUACUAAUGGAUCAUAUAUCGAACGGGUUAGAUCAGGAGUUAUACAGGCUUUUCGCGAUAGUAAGAGCCGAUGUCGGAUUAGCUAGUUGGCUAGGUAACGGCAUACCAAGGCGACGAUGCGUAGCUGCUCUGAGAGGAUGAUCAGCCACACUGGAACUGAGACACGGUCCAGACACCUACGGGAGGCAGCAGUGGGGAAUCUUGCACAAUGGGCGAAAGCCUGAUGGAGCAACACCGCGUGAGUGAUGAAGGUCUUCGGGUCGUAAAGCUCUGUUGUUGGGAAAGAACAAAAGCAUGUUUAUCCAUGGAUGUCCUGACGGUACCUAAAGAAUAAGCCCCGGCUAACUUCGUG